rnacentral:tRNA from 1 species
GGCUAUUAGCUCAGUGGUAGAGCGCGCCCCUGAUAAGGGCGAGGUCUCUGGUUCAAAUCCAGGAUGGCCCA